rfam:Vibrio rumoiensis 1S-45 1S-45_contig_35, whole genome shotgun sequence.
UCUUAAUUUAUUUUCGUUCCUUGCUUCCUCCGGAUGGCCGAGCCCAUGUGGAAGCUAAUAAUCCGUAAGGAGCAACCUAUG